CCUACGGGUGGCAGCAGUGGGGGAUAUUGGACAAUGGGGGGAACCCUGAUCCAGCGACGCCGCGUGAGUGAAGAAGUAUCUCGGUAUGUAAAGCUCUAUCAGCAGGGAAGAAGAAAUGACGAUACCUGAGUAAGAAGCCCCGGCUAACUACGUGCCAGCAGCCGCGGUACUCCGGAGGGUGCGAGCGUUAAUCGGAAUUACUGGGCGUAAAGCGCUCGUAGGGGGUAUGUCAAGUCAAGGGUGAAAUCCCCGGGCUCAAAGUGGGAACUGCCGUUGAAACUGGCAAACUGGAGUGUGUGAGAGGCUAGCGGAAUGCCAGGUGUAGGAGUGAAAUCCAUAGAUAUCAGGAGGAACAGCAGUGGCGAAGGCGACUAACUGGCACAUAACUGACGCUGAGGAGCGAAAGCGUGGGUAGCAAACAGGAUUAGAUACCCGAGUAGUC
rnacentral:rRNA from 1 species